ensembl:scaRNA
GCGCUCACGAAGGCUCGGUCCUCUCCAUGUGGUCCUGACCUGUCCUCUGUGAGCAAGAGAAACAGGACUGGUUUGGGGGUGUCCUGUCUGAGUGGACACGGGACACCACGGUUUUCAGUACGACA